GGCGAUAUGGCCGAGUGGUCUAAGGCGCCGUCUUAAGGAGGUACCUGGGACGUCGUGAGAUGUUCCCCAUGUAGUCCGGCGGUCUUCGGGCGUGGGUUCGAAUCCCACUGUCGUCA
rfam:Puccinia graminis f. sp. tritici CRL 75-36-700-3 supercont2.25 genomic scaffold, whole genome shotgun sequence.